rnacentral:lncRNA from 1 species
AUUGGGCCUCAAGAUUUGUGGAGAGAUAGCUACUAAUACAUGAAAACUAUGAGUCUCUGUUAACCACAGUGAGCACUCAAAAUACAGAUCAGAAAGAGCCACACAACCAUGGAAGGCAAUCACCCUGAAGGAGGACAAGAAAUCUCACUUUUCCACCUACACCUCUUUUGUUUUAUGGUUAUUGCUUUAAUCUAAACCACCCUGUCCUCCAGCAUACUUUGCAAUGUC